UUUUGAUGCGGAGAAUCCAAAAAUGCAAGUCUCAACUUUAGGAAUUCAGUGGUUAAAAAGUUAUAAGCGUGUAAAGUUUGACAUUUUUAGCGGAUUUGUUACGUUACUGUGACGCCAUAUUGACUUCUUGUCCAAUGAACGGUGUCGCUAGCUGUAGGCAGAUUCACGUGGGUGCCGACUACUUUGGCGGCUAGUGAUGGGACUCAUACCCAGCAAAUAGAGUCAAAUUGGCGGCCGGCGAAGGACUGGAUGAGGGGGAGGGGUCGUUUUCACGAUGAGGAAUUUGCCGAUCGCUUAUGCGAAUAUCUGUGGCGACGGUUUUGCCGUCACAACAACAUAGACCUCAUGGGAUCAAUGAUGGAAGCGAUUCGGAAACAAUAUGUUUUUAAUUAAGAUUCUACGCAUCAAAAACUAUAGAUUCAAAAAAAAAAGGUCCAAAAUUUUGG